rnacentral:lncRNA from 13 species
UGGAAUGUUCUGGAAACAGAGUAAGCAAGGAGACAAGUGACAGGUGAGGAGGUCGGUGAGAGGCUGGGGCAUCCCGCUCCAGAUCCUCAGUGUGGAUUCUUGGGCUGAUUUUGGAAGCCUUCCAUGGGCUGGCCCCACCUUUCCAGUUUCCUAUUCCUUACCAGGUGUCCAUUCCAGGAAGGAGGCUGACCUGAGAAGGGAAGGAAAGGGCACACCUGGAUCACCCACAGAGCCUCACACUGUGGCCAGUGAAGGCUGCUCACUCGGGCCACCUUCCCAGAGCUGCUGCCACCACCUCCAUCAUCUCCAGCUGCCAGCCUGCCUGACUCCAUCUGCAGAGGAGAAACACGGCUGGAAGCGAGAGAGGCUGUUUUACUUUGUAUGCCCAGGUGUACCCAUGUAGCCACACUCACAAGAUGGGAAACUGGGGCCCAAGGAGGAGCAGGAUGUGUCAUGGGUCUCAUCAAGCAACUCAAUAAGGUCUCCUGGAUCCAAAGCGAUCUUCAUGUGGAGAUUUCCCAGGUUCCACCAAGCUCUGGCAGUCAAAGGUCUAUGGAAAGUUCAGGAAGGUGAGCUGCAUAUUCUUUUUAAGGUCUCUCCAGCUAAUACUGAGCCAGCAUGAGCCUGGACCACAGUUGCUAGCUUGGACCAAGGCAGCGCUUCAUAAUUUCUAGCAAAAUAAGUGUUUCCUACUUGGCAGGAGAGCAUUGCUCCACCACUCUGGGCACCUCUGGGUCUCUUUCAUUCCGCUGAGGCAUCAAGUACCUUGAGUACCCUAGCUUGGCUACUAAUAUCACCCAUCUAGACCUCAUCAGUCCCAGUCCCUGAAAAAGAAUAAAAAGAAAAGAAGACAAAAAGCA